UACGUAGGGACCGAGCGUUGUCCGGAUUCAUUGGGCGUAAAGAGCUCGUAGGCGGCUGUUCAAGUCGAACGUGAAAACUCGGAGCUCAACUCCGAGCCUGCGUUCGAUACUGGACGGCUAGAGUCUGGUAGGGGGAUCUGGAAUUCCUGGUGUAGCGGUGGAAUGCGCAGAUAUCAGGAGGAACACCGGUGGCGAAGGCAGCUCGCUGGGACGUUACUGACGCUGAGACGCGAAAGCGUGGGGAGCAAACAGG
rnacentral:rRNA from 1 species